rnacentral:misc_RNA from 1 species
GCCUGAACUAGGUCCUAAUUCUGAUUCAGGGUCAGGCCAGGUCAAUCGCUGUCAAAAAGCCUUUGGCAGGAUCUACCUAAUAAUAUCUCCUUGCUAGCUCGUUAACUGCCGCCAGCAACUCAGCUGUUAGCAGAAGUAAAGAACCAAGUAUUGUCCUUGGCUUAACACUACUGUUCUUGUUUCAUUUCAUUCAUGGACAUGGCGGCCCCAAAGGAUCAAGAAUCCACCGGAUUACUCCUCAAGAUCCUCCCGCCUCGCCUCGAAGAUGCGGGCCUCGAGGAUUGCACCCUUCCUCUUGAGUCCAUUAAAGAAGCUUUCUUCAAAGCCGCCUCUGCCAUUAAGUCAGGCACCACCUCUUCCUUCUCCGACGAAGAAGAAGACGAUUGUGUUCAGGACCGCUGGCCAGAGGCCAAAGACUUGUCUGAUGAGGUCGUCGGUGGGUCGCCGAGCGCUGCCAUGCCGGACACUUUCGUGGGAGUAGACACAGGGAUGGAUGUGCCGGGACAUUGCGUGGCAGAGAAGGGUGGUGGCGUGGUGUGGGAAGGCGGGGAUAAGGUAGUGGCGGGNUGGUGGUGACGUGGAGGACAAAGAUAGAGAAAAGGGGUGCGUGGAUGAUGGGUUGAAGGGAUUGAAGAUUGGGGACAAGAAGGAAGAAAAUGGCGGUGAUGCUGAUGGUGAUGGUGAUGAGGAACGGGAGGAGAAAGAAGGUGAGAGGCCAAUAUUGACUGAAGGUGUUAUGUGAAAAAAAAAUGGAACCCCUUCUAGUGUCGAGUUCUGCCUUUAUUUCUAACAAGUGUCUAGUGUUCAUUUUAGUAUCUUGUUUAUAUAUGAGCUAUGUUCUAGUUUUCUUGAAGAAAAUGUCUUCUUGUACCUUUUCUUUAUAAUCCAAUGUUGAAUGAAAUUUUCA